CCGGAUGCCCUGAGGGCCGCGCAGGGCUGGCGGGGCGCGGAAGCGGGGCUCUGUGGGGCUCUGUGCGCAGCCGGGUGGCUCCGCCUGGACGGGACUCCCACAGAACAGAGGCCGUGCCCGCCCUCAGCGUGCUUGUUGAAUCUGCUACUCAGGAAUAUUUUCUCUAGAAAAACUGCUUCAGUCAUAAGUGCAGAGAGUAUCUCCUCCCCUCACCUCAUCCCAGGGCUCAGAGGAACAGAACAAUUUCAGAAAAUCAAGGACUAUGGGUAUGAAUUCCCUGAGAGAGGAGAGAAAAUGAGCUUGCGCCUUAGAUGCUGGAUUAUUGUGGAGCCUUUGAAGUUCAGGGACCAAUUGCAGCAACAAAGUGAAACGUGCAAGCUAUUGGAGUGUCCAGUAAGACAGCAUGGAUUUUGA
rnacentral:lncRNA from 1 species